rnacentral:rRNA from 1 species
AUUGAACGCUGGCGGCAUGCUUUACACAUGCGAGUCGAACGGUAACAGGUCUUCGGAUGCUGACGAGUGGCGAACGGGUGAGUAAUGCAUCGGAACGUGCCCAGUCGUGGGGGAUAACGCAGCGAAAGCUGUGCUAAUACCGCAUACGAUCUAUGGAUGAAAGCGGGGGACCGUAAGGCCUCGCGCGAUUGGAGCGGCCGAUGUCCGAUUAGGUAGUUGGUGGGGUAAAGGCCCACCAAGCCAACGAUCUGUAGCUGGUCUGAGAGGACGACCAGCCACACUGGGACUGAGACACGGCCCAGACUCCUACGGGAGGCAGCAGUGGGGAAUUUUGGACAAUGGGCGCAAGCCUGAUCCAGCAAUGCCGCGUGCAGGAAGAAGGCCUUCGGGUUGUAAACUGCUUUUGUACGGAACGAAACGGUCUGGGUUAAUACCCUGGGCUAAUGACGGUACCGUAAGAAUAAGCACCGGCUAACUACGUGCCAGCCGCCGCGGUAAUAC